rnacentral:tRNA from 1 species
AGGAUUGUAGUUCAAUUGGUUAGAGCACCGCCCUGUCAAGGCGGAAGCUGCGGGUUCGAGCCCCGUCAGGCCCA